CGUGGGUAACCUGCCCAAGAGAUCGGGAUAACACCUGGAAACNGAUGCUAAUACCGGAUAACAACAGAUGAUGCCUAUCAACUGUUUAAAAGAUGGUUCUGCUAUCACUCUUGGUAUGGACCUGCGGUGCAUUAGCUAGUUGGUAGGGUAACGGCCUACCAAGGCGAUGAUGCAUAGCCGAGUUGAGAGACUGAUCGGCCACAUUGGGACUGAGACACGGCCCAAACUCCGUACGGGAGGCAGCACGGC
rnacentral:rRNA from 1 species